GGGCUGGAGAUAUGGCUCAUUGGCUGCUCUUCCAGAGGACUGAGGUUUAAUUCCAACAUCUAUAUGAUAGCUCAUAAUCUCCUGUAACUCCAUCUCCAGGAUACCUAAUACCUCCUUCUAACCUCUGUGGGCACUUGCACUCUCAUGCACAUACAAGCAUAUGUAAUUGAAAAUAAAAUAAAAUAAAGCAAUAGUAUCAUAGAUAAUAUUUUGGUAUUUGUCUUAUAAUGCCCAAAAUUAACCUGUAAGCCUUACCUGCCCAGAAACCCAGUAACUUCCUGCAAUGCUGGGAAUUAUAGUUCUUAGGAAACAGCAAAGCAUCAUGGGAAAGUACAGUGGCCUAUAGGUUUGCCCUUUGCCCCUGCAACCCAUGGCUCAGGCCAUUCUCAGGUGGGAAGUUCUGUGAAAUGGUCCCAACUAAGGUCCAUCCCUUGGUCAAUAUCUAAUAUUUAAUAAAGGUUGCUUUAAAUUUGGUCCAGAAUGUUGGAGUUGUUCCCCCCACCCCACCCCCCGCAUAUCCCAGAAUUAACAGUCUCCCAAAUCAACAUGUAAACUGUAAAAGACACUUAGUGGAGGGAAGAGAACACUCUUGUCAGGUGUCUGUCCUCCGCCUUUUCUGUUGGUGAGGGCCAGGUUCCUGCAGGCUUGCAGGCCACCUCUGACUCACUCCCGGUGGCGGCAGCUGCUGCUCUUCAUCAUUUUCUUCUUUGGCAGUUCCAUACCUGUAUGUAAUGAAUUUUAAUAGUCUUAUCCUUCUCUUUCUCCCACUUGAAACCCUUAGUCUCAACGAAGAGCCCCUCCUUCUUUCAUGUCUUCUUUUGUGUGUGACUUACUCAGUCUAAGGUAAGUCGCCUGCCUGAGCGUGGGUGGGAGUUUAUUUCCUGGAGCAUGGGUAACUUGUCAGCUUCCGUGUCACUGCAGAGGAUGAUAGCUACUCCCUUGGCAAGCACUAACUUCUGUUAGUCCUGAAGGGAGGGGUGGGGCCUCAGGGGACCCUCCCACACACUUGAUGAAUGCCCAGUCGCCUGCAGCUCUAGUGCAGGUCACCACAUGAAGACAACAGCUAUGUCAAGCCCAGAAUGGCUUUUACAUUCUUUCUGUCUCCUCUUCCCUGAGCAUUGGAGAGGGUGAUAGAGUUGUCCCAUUUAGGGCUAAUUAUGACUCCAGCCUUCUUAAUCGCAAAUCAAAUGUUAUUGCUACACUCUUCCUGGGUCUGUCUCCUCAGACCCUUUCUUGAAGUCUGCCCAAGGACCAUCAACUUCACAAUGGAGAAAGAAAAAGGCUACCUCCAAUAACACUGCUGACAGAUCAGUCCAUGGUCUUCCAAAUGAGAAUCACAGCAGUUUCUACUAAGGGUUUUGCUCUAAUCCUAACAUUUCUGGCUACAGGCAUGGGUCUUCCCUUGCAGGGAAUGAGAGGUGUUCUGGGUUUCACCUCAUCUACAUCCAUCCCCAUCACUCAGGUGUUACUGGUUUUGAAGGGAUGAAGGGAACAUAAAGAGCAGCUGAGGCUUGGCACUCUGAGAGGCCAUGGAAGGCCAUUGGUGAAGAUGCAGCCUCAGUUGCACUUGACAGCCCAGGACUGAAGGGGUCAUGAAAAGAAGUUGAGGCUUGGCACCAUGGAGAGAACCUAUGAGAGGUUAUUGGUGAAGCCUCGUUGCAGUAGAAGGCCCCAGAGUAUUGGAGAUACCAGUACUGUAGGAAGCCAACUCUAAGAUGGCUCUGGGCACCAGGUGUGCCAUUGUCAUAAACAACAUCAGCGCAGAUGUAAGUCCGAGUCUGGCGCCAACCCCUCCGGAGCGGGUGCAUGCAAAUUAGGUGCCGGCAGACUGACCAAUCCCAGGGGGCCAUGAAGCCUUUCCCUGUGCUGGAGAGUAUAUAAGCAGACCUCCCUGGGUUCCCUAGGUCCCUGUAGCAGCAUUGAGGCAUUCCUGCAAUAAAGGCUGUUGAGAAGAAUCUGGCCGUUGUGUCUUUCUUGCUGGUCAAGAGCAGACACAACACAGUACCAUGGGAUGAUCACCAAGAACAGCAGCAACAGUGGAGUGGAUCACUCUGAACUUAGAAUGCCACCGAGGGCAGUGCUGGAGAAGUGACACCAGCCCUUUGGAGAAUCCCAGAAGAUUAUGUGUGGAUCCCAGACAUUGAAACAAGAAGCUGUAACAUUGAAUUUUCCUUGGAGACCCCAAGAUGUUUGAGAUGCCAGAGCCAUGAACUAUCUGCUGAGGAAAUCUGCUAACAGGGAGUGGAACCAGCCCAAGAGAAAGAAGUUUGUUGCAGUCAACAAAGAUAAAAAAGAGGUUGGAGAUCUGAAGAGAGUUUUGACAUCAGACAUGAAGAUCCAAAGUUUGGAGUUUACCCAUUUGGUUUCCUGUCUUGCUUUGGAGAUUACAGUUAAGUGAUUGAGUAAAUCUCAGUAGAGACCUUGAACUUUGGUCUUAAAAGAUUAAGUUAAAACAUUGUUGAGACCGCCACAGACUAUGAGGACUUUGGAAGUUGGACUAAAUGAACUUUGCAUUAUGUUAGGUUUAGUUAUGUCCCAUAUGUUUGAGCAAGCCUCUGGGGUUCAGAGACUGGAAUGUGAUGAUUUCUAUAUGCUUGGGCUAGGGAGUGGCACUAUUAGGAGUGUGGCCUUAUUGGAUUUUUAUUGAUCCAACAUGUUGGGGACUCCCCUCUCAGCACGCAGGCCAGAGGAGAGACCCAGAACAAAGAAAGAACACACAUUUUAUACCUUUGUAAGGGGCAGAUUUGAGCAACAGGGUUCUCAUUGGUGCUUCUGUCCAACCCCUCAUUAUGUUUUAAUUAUGUUAUUAAUGUUAAUAAUGUUAUUAAUGUUUCCCUCAUUAAGUUUCAUCCACAGGUAAAGGAACCCAAGCUGGGCCCAAUGCCAAGUGCACUUCUUCAAUGUUACAUUCUGGGACAGGAGAGAGGAUCACUGGUUGAGCCUACCUACUCUGUGGACACAUUGUAAUCCUGAAACUGUUCUGAGCUUCCAUUCAUGGCCAGGUGUGCUCCCAGUGUAACAGAAGGUUCAUGUUGAUACUUUGAAUCUGUGUAUGAUCCUGUGUCAGGUUGACAUGUUUGGAACCAAACAUUCCCAUAACUUAUGGCUAACUGAGUUGGUGAUUGAAGAUUGCUUCAGGGAAGUGUCAGGGAAUUGUUACCUGUUAAGUCACCAUGGUUUUGAAGAAAUCUUUUUUUUUUUCCAGGACACCUGAUCACUUCAUCGUUGGGUUCUGUGUUUGAAAACUGGGCCAGCUCUGAACCUGGGUGACAGAACACACUGUGGAGAAACCUUGUCUCUAGGAUCUUGCUCAUACACUCUUGGCUCCUCUUGCUCUGGUGGAGCUCCUCAGUGCCCACUGGGAAAGUGAUCUGGCUCCCAAGACCACCAGCCUGUUCAAGUCAUGGAUGGCACCAGUUUUCACAGGCUGAGUGAUUAGAAAACAGACUCUGGGACAGCUGUGUACAUAAGAGUCAUCUGGGCAUUGCUCUUACAAUCCCUGUAGAAGACAAGAGCUCAGAUUGACCCACCCGAAGUCCCUGGGAUUCACUUCUUCACCCUUCACACCUCGGCUUGCAGAAACAAGAUGCCACGUUUGACUUUAUGUGGUUGCUGGGAACAUGAAUUUGGGUCCUAGGGUUUACAAGUCAAGCACUUUACCCAUUGACCAUCUCCCUAGCCGUGUGACUGGCUUCUUUACCUUCAUGAUAACUACUCAUCAGCUAUAUUUUAAUCUGGCAAGGGGACUUGAAUUUGAAUGAGAUGACUCUAGUUAAAUAGUUUUGAUGAGGAGUGACAACUGAAGGCUCUUCGGGGCUAAAGGGAUACUUAGGUGUUGUGUUCCAUCCCCACCCCUGUUGACUAUAUAGGGCGAUACAAUGACUAACACAGGCUGGACACUUUAGAAGACAAACUUCAGACAAUUCCCCACCAAAAGGAUGUAUACCCUGGUUAUGGGUUUUUGGUUUGGGAGACUAUGUAUGCUAAGAUGAAUGUAGCUUGAUGAGUUGGGAAGACACUACAUAUGAGAUGAGCCAUGGUAAAGACUGCAUAAAGACAGGGGCAGACUUGGAUCUUUCCUUUCUCGGUUGCUAAAUGACUGAAAAAGCCUUUUAACCCCAUAGACCUUCUGCUCAUCUAAACAGAGUGGAGGUUGGCACUAUCUAAGACAUAUAAAGAACCGUCAAAACUCAGUGAUUAAAAUAUUAGACUAGGAAACUUAGAAAAGACAGAUCUGCCACUAAAGAGGCUAUAAAGAUGACAAAGUAGUAUAUGAAAAGAGGAUCAACAGCAUAAGCCAUCAUAGAAACACUCAGUAAACAUACAGUAUGAUACACUAAGGAGUUGAGGGGUCACUCAGUGGUUAGGGGCACAGAGGACUCUGCCAGAGGACUUGAGUUCACUUCCCAUCUCAUGUGGUUCGCAAUUGCCUAUAACUCCAGCUCCAAGGGUGAGGAUGGUCUUCCACACACACAUGCACACACACACACACACACACACACACACACACACACACACACACAUACACACAUACAUGCACAAAUGCGCAUGCUCACACACAAACACAUACUCACAUAUAUAAAUAAAAUAGAGAUCCUACCCUACUAUCAGAAUGGUUCAAAAAAUUUAAGGACAUCAACAAACACUGGCAAGGAUGUCAGACUCAUACGCAGCUACUGAGAAUGUAAAAUGGGACAAUCAGUCUAAAAACUGCAUUGAUGUCUCUAGGAAAUCAAACAUAUGCCUGCCAUAUGACCCAGAAAACAUUUUCCUAAGGCAUUUAUCCAAGAGAAGUGAAAGUGCACAAAAUCUACAUAUGCAUUUUCAUAUAUGUUGAUUUUCAAUAACUAGAAAUAACCCAAGCAUCUCACAACAAGCGAGCAAUUAGACAAACUACCAAGUCCACAUUCAGAAAUACUACUCACCAAUAGCAAUGAGAACAGUGUCGGUCUACACAACAACUCAGGUGGAUAUCAAGAGAAUCAUGCUGGGGAGGGAAAUUUCAGACUUCCGUAUGGUGUUUGAUAAAAUUUAUGCAACAUUCUUAAAAUUAAUCAAAGUAUAAAUCUGGAGACAUAUUAUUGCUGGUCACAGGUCGGGAGAAGGGACAGGUGGCAGUUGGUUCUAAAAGGUAUCACAAGAGGCCACUGAUGGGACGAGUCUAAGUUUGACUAUGGUGGUUUUCUUUUUCUCGGUUUUCUUUUUCUAUGAUAAACACCAUUACCAAACGCAAUUUGGAGAGGAAAGGGUUUGUUUCAUCUGACAGGAGACAGAUUGAAAGCAGGACCUUAAAGCAGAAACCACAGAGGGAUGCCCUUUAGUGGUUUGCUCCGUGUUCAGCUAGCUUUCUUAGACAACCUAAGCGACCUGCCUAGGGAAGAUGCUCCCCGUAGUAAACUGGACAGAGAAGGUACCACACACAUCCCCAUAGGCAACCUGAUGGAGGCCAUCCCUUAACCGGCAGGUUCUUUCUUCCCAAGUGUAUCUCAUAGAGAGGCACACGAGUCUCUCCACAUAACAAAGUUACAGACAGAGUGGCACCGGCCUAAAAUCUCAACUACGCAGGUGACAGAGGCAGAAGGAUUGCAAGUUUCAGGUAUGCCUGUGUUACAGAUUGGGAUCAACGCUACCUUGGGCAACUUAAGUCAGAUGGAACCAGAAGGCUGGGGAUACAUCUCAGCGGUAGAGCACUGGCUUAGCCUGUGUAGGUCAGUUUCUAGUAUGGCAAGCAAUCAAUGAAUAGCUGAAAAUAUGCAUGUCUAAGCACAGGGCAAAACUAUGAAACCUGGAUAUGACUAGUAUAGUCUGUCAAUUUUCUGGUUGUGAAGUGGUGUUGUGGUUAUGCAAUCUGUUGCCAACUAAUAAAAACUGGUAUGCAUAUGAAUUUAUAAUUUUCAUUACUAUUAUUAUUAGUAUUAGUAUUUAUGUGUGCACAAUGAGUACAGUGCCUGCAGAGAUGAGAAGAAGCAAGGAGAUCUCCCAGAGCUAGAUUAGCAGGCCAUUGUGAACUGCCCAUCAUAGGUGCUGGGAACCUGAUUUAGUCAGGCUUCUCUGAAGGAACAGAACUGAGAGUGAAUGUGUGUAUGUGUGUGUGUGUGUGUGCGUGUGUGUGCGUGCGUGCAUUUGUGAGUGUGUGUGCAUGUGUGUGUGUGCGUGCGUGCAUGUGUGAGUGUGAGUGUGUGUGUGUGUGUGUGUGUGCAUGUGUGUGUGUGCAUGUGUGUGUGUGUGUGUAUGCAUUUAUAAGGCUGGCUUACAGGAUAUGGUCCGAGUAGUUCAACAAUGGCAGUCUCAUGAUGGAAAGACCAAUAUCUAAACUGGCAGCUGUUCAGUCCACAAGGCUGGGUGUCUCAGCAGUCCUCACCUAGCUCUGGGAUCCUGGAGGAUUCCUGGAGAGCAGAUGGUUUUCUAUCUUUGUUGGGAUUCUGAAUAGUGAAGGAAUGCCUGAGCAACAGGAGAGAUGCCAGACACAGUGGGGCAAGCAGGCAAAAAAAAAAAAAAAAAAAAGCCAAGUGUCCUUCUUCCACGUCAUGUUAUCUGGGCUGCCAUCAGAAAGUGGGGCCCGGAUGUCGGAUGUGUCUUCCUGCUUCAAAUAAUCUGAUUUUAAAAAACUGCCUCACAGAAGUGCCCAGCAACUUGAGUUUUAGAUGAUUCCAGAUGUUGUCUGUUGACAAAAUUAGCCACCACGGAACUGAGCUCCGGGAUCAAAAUAUUGAGUAAGUGGUACAUAUGGUGGCAGAUCUGACCAAGUUUCAAGGAGAGAAGAGGAUGUCCUAAAAAAAUGGGUUAAGAAAUGGCCAAGGACAGAAAAAAAAAUGACCACAUAGGAGUUGAAGAGGUCGGUAGCUCUAGAGGAGGAACCGUGUUGGAGCUUUGUCAGGAAAGUGGUUCAGUAGAGAUGAUAAAAGGACACAGCAAAAGGAGCCUGGAAAGGCGGGAAGAGCCAGAUGGGGUGUGGUUUCCAGCAAUGUGGAAUGACACUCACUCCAGGGCACUGAGGAGGCUUGGCCAGGGCUUUGACAGAGGUGACUGCAGCUGCAGAAGGCCAACUUAAACUAUUCUAGGAAUUUUGAUUACAAUGGCAAUUUAGUGCAGGAAUAGAUUACCAGCAGAGCUGGGGGAGGGGAGCAUUCUCUUGGAAUAAAUCGAGUUGACUGUUAAGAAAGAUAAAUAACUUCACGUGGGAAAGUAUGCAGGAGACAGCUGCAGGGGGGCUGUAAAUUGGGUCAGAGGGAGAGCCAGGAACAAAGCAAGUGCAGCAGACAUCUGUCCCUGGACCAGCAAUUGUGUUUCUCUUGUCAUAAGCUGGAAGGCCACAUUGGAGGAGCCAUCUGAGCCCUUUUCAACUUCCUCUUGUCUUUGGAGAUCUCCACACCCAUAUCAGUGGGUGGCUAUUUUCCUAGAGUAAUAUUUGCAUGUAAUAGUUGAGUCGUUUGUAAUGAACAGAAAUGAGCAUGGGGGAGAUGCUCUUCAUUUUUAAUGAAUUCUUGAGGACGUUUUUACUUUCUCUUAUAAAGUCCCCUAAAUCCAGUUAAAGUCUAGCUCACUCCUUCUGUUUUGCAUCAUGCUUUCUUCCACUUAAGAACAAAUGUGGAAUGACCAUGCGGUGCUCUCAAAACAGGACAUAUAUGCAUACCACCACCAUUACCACCCCCCAGGGAACACUGUGAAAGAGAGGGCCAAAAGGUCAUAAGGGCUGCAGGUCAGGAUGGGGAGUGACUGUUGUGACACAGUGUCUUCUGGGUAUGGCAAGGCUAUAAACAGAACAUCUCGUCUACUGUAUGAAUGCAUCACCUGUCAGCUAAAAAGCCCAUGGGCUAUGGCUUAGGCAGGAAAUAGAAGGUGAACCGUGGGAGGAGAAAGAAUUCUGGGAGAGAAGGAGGCAGAGAGAGUCACUGAAAAGAUGUGACAAGACAGAUGCCUGGUACCUGAGCUCAUAUCGCCAAUCACAUGGGAGAAUGUAGGCUAGAAUCAAUGGUUAUUUCAAGUUAUAGCUAGUCAGAGAAGAGCCUAGUUACAUGGCCAAGGUAUUUGUAAAUAUAUUUUGAGUCUGAGCCUUAUUUCCGGGAGCACGGAGCUUGGAGGAAGAUCCAGGGCUUAACUUCAACAUGAGGCCAUUACACUUAACGAACUCACAGCAGCAGUGGCUGCUUACACAGAUUCAUCCAGUCAACAUUCCAGGAUAAACGGAAGGUACCCCAUCCAUAACUGAGAGUUAUUGGCCGUUGAUGUCCCCUGGGGAGAAAGGGGAGUUUUCUUCAGGAAUGUGGUCUCUUACAGGUUGCUCAUGCUGUGGUGAAUGUUCCUACACCUGUGCCCAUAUGAACACCACUUAGUAGGUUAUAAAGAGCAGAAGAGGAAGAUCUGACACUUCAAAGGGAUAUGGUGGGGAGAAUCUCGGAUAACCAGGAAGGUGAGGGUGGGAAUAGAUAUGAUCAAUGCAUUGCAAACUUGUAUAGAUUAAAAUUUUUAUAAAGUUACAAAAGAACAAAUAGAGGUACGAGGCUGGGGUGGGAACAUUUGUGAAACUCCCUGGAAACAGGGAUCAGUGGCAAACAUGUCUAAGAAAGGUCCCAAUUAAUUGCAUGCAGUGAUUAAUAAUUACAUCAGUGGCCAGCUGAGAGCUACAGCUCACCACACUCAAGCUCCUAUUUAUUUCUUGGAAAGUAUGACUGGAAAAGUUUCUCAACUAUAUAUAUAUGUUCAGCAGCAGUUGAUGGUCAGCCUUAGACCAACAGAACCUGACCGUGGGGCACAUGCGAGAUGGAUGGAAAGGAGCCUACUAUGGGUGUCACUCUUCUCAUGACAGAGGGCAAACACCUAAUAGGAGGACCAACUUGAGUCAUGGAGGGUUUGCACGAGGUUCAGAGGAUAAAGUCGAUCACCGCCAUGAGAAACACAUGGAAACAGAACCAGUCCGUUAUGACAACGGGAGUGUGAGAUAGCUUGCUCACAUGUGACUGGAUCUGGAAACAGAGCAACCAGGACAGAAUCAGAGGCGAUCCGUAACCCUCAAGUUUCAUCCCUAUGCCCCACCAACUAUGAAUGAGACUGUGUGUCUGUCCAACCUCCUGAAAGAGUGCUACCAGCUGGGGACCAAGUAAUCAAGCAUGUGAGCUUCUAGGGGACAUUUCACAUCCAAGCCAUAAGCCUAAUUUAAAGAACCCUAAUUGUGUACAUUUAUGACAUCCCCCAUCUGGCUGAAGAAAAAAAAAAGGGUAAUAAUCCUCUAAUGACUUGGACUAAACGAUUUCUAAAUUGACCAGGUACUCUAUAAUGCCCAAGUCCACCCUGCUUUGGGCUAGUUAAUAAUUAAUUUAAAGAGAUUAUGAAGGAAAAGUUCAACAAAUUAGCAGAGACACUGGAGUAAGCUCAGGUGUCAUUUAAAAUUGAUCUUUCUAUUUAAUGUACAGGAUGCUUCUGUGAAGAAAACCUCUUAUUCAGUAUGACCACAGCCUGAUACACUGAAUAGAUUAUGGAAAUUACACCUUUAAUGCCUAGGGAAAUAUUUGUACAUAAAGAAAAAUGGAGAUCAAAGCUCUAUACCUUGGGACUGGAGAGGUGGCUCAUUAGUCGAGAGCACCUGCUUGUUCUUCCACGAGAUCUGAGGAUCUGGCUCAAUUUGUUAAUUCGGAAUAAAUCUGGAGCUUAGGUCUCUUAUGUCACUAGGAGCUCAGCAGGUGCCAGAAUGAGAACAUUUACAAGUCCCAGUUCAUGAAAUGGUCUGGUGUUCCACCCAUAGCUGACUUUUUCCAUUCCACUGAGUCCCUCGAGUUUAAUUCUUUUCCAAAUAAGUAUCUAUGUCUCAACUGCCCAGCACAGUGAGAACACGGUCAACAGCCUCACUUCCGUGUGCUCUCUCUUCACGCCCUCCUGCUCCACCGAGACAUCCUCCACCUUGAAUUUCCUCCUGUUUCAUUUUCUUGCUUUAAAAGUAUCAAUUUUAGCAGGCACAGAAAAUGGAUGGACUUUUACUUAAAUCGGCAACAAAUGGCUUAGACAACAACUACCUAAAUACCUGUUUUGGCAUUUGGACCUUAAAAAAGAUAAAGUGCGGAGCCAAUAUUCUCCUGGAACUUCUGGUUUGUUUUUGUUGUUCAGUCUUUUUUUUUUCUUUUUUAAUAUUUUUAUUAGGUAUUUUCCUCAUUUACAUUUCCAAUGCUAUCCCAAAAGUCCCCAUACACACCCCCCCACUCCCCUACCCACCCACUCCCCCUUUUUGGUCCUGGCAUUCCCCUGUACUG
rnacentral:lncRNA from 1 species